CAAGCAUGUGAUGGUCAGGAGUUAUGGAGCAGCUGGCAUCUCUAUCUGACCACACGCAAAGCCUCCUGGAAAACACGUGGCCAUAUUGGGGUUGAUAAUUCAGGUAGCAGAGUUGGCUUCCAUGCCAGAAGUGGGAGGGACAAAGAAACCACAGACUCCCACAAAAGGAGGAGGAGCUUUCUCUGAAGUGCUACUGCCCAAGAAUCAGACACCUUUUGUGGUGGCCACUGAUGUUUAAAGCUGAGACAUUGGCUUCUGUGCUUGCCUUUCUGGGACCACCCUCCCUUUCACAGCACAUGGAGAUGCUCCACGAAUAAUGUGGCCAAGGCCCAGCCUCCCUCCCCUCUGCAGCAUCUGGAGAUGCUCCAUGAAGGAUGUAGCUCCGGGCCUUCUGAGCCAGGCACCCUCGACUUGGCCAUCUCUAUAACUUUGGGAAGUAGGGUGGGCCGGAGAGACCACCGAGUCCAAAGACCAGAGCUACUCCGGAGUGCCACCUUGUAAUGCACAAUUAUUUGUUUGUGGC
rnacentral:lncRNA from 1 species